GGACAAACAGUUCGUCUGCUUGAGAGGAGAGAAAUAGGGAAGUCGCGUUGACGUAAGCACGCCUUGCCUCUAUUGACUAAUGUUUCAAAAUGUUGGUAGUGAAACAAAACUUUGUGUGGCUUUAUGAGAAACCAAGAUCCUUUUCUCAAAUGGAAAGAGAAUUUACUGGACAGAUGUAAUCUGCAUGAAAGAGAUUGCACUUGUAAAAUUUUCCGAACCUUUUCCUUGCAAAAACUCUUCAUUAGGCUCUUGUAGUUAUAUCAUAGUUGUCUUGUGGCUACCAAUGGCGCCAUGCCAUGUUUAACAGCAUCUAGUUGUAUUUGUAGUCUGUGAAAAGAAAAUUAAUACAAGCAUUAUGAAACAACAAA